rnacentral:tRNA from 1 species
GCCUGGGUGGCUCAGACGGUUAAGCCUCUGACUUCAGCUCAGGUCACGAUCUCAUGGUUCGUGGGUUUGAGCCCCGCGUCAGGCU